UGGGGAAUAUUGGACAAUGGGCGAAAGCCUGAUCCAGCCAUGCCGCGUGUGUGAAGAAGGUCUUCGGAUUGUAAAGCACUUUAAGUUGGGAGGAAGGGCAGUAAGUUAAUACCUUGCUGUUUUGACGUUACCAACAGAAUAAGCACCGGCUAACUUCGUGCCAGCAGCCGCGGUAAUACGAAGGGUGCAAGCGUUAAUCGGAAUUACUGGGCGUAAAGCGCGCGUAGGUGGUAUGGUAAGAUGGAUGUGAAAUCCCCGGGCUCAACCUGGGAACUGCAUCCAUAACUGCCUGACUAGAGUACGGUAGAGGGUGGUGGAAUUUCCUGUGUAGCGGUGAAAUGCGUAGAUAUAGGAAGGAACACCAGUGGCGAAGGCG
rnacentral:rRNA from 1 species